GGGCCUAUAGCUCAGUGGUAGAGCAUACGAUUGCAGAUCGUGCGGUCCCGUGUUCGAACCACGGUGGGCCCU
rnacentral:tRNA from 1 species